GAUGAACGCUAGCGAUAGGCCUAACACAUGCAAGUCGAGGGGCAUCACAUGAAGUAGCAAUACGGAUGGUGGCGACCGGCGCACGGGUGAGUAACACGUAUGCAACCUGCCUUCAACAAGGGGGAUAAACCCGUUGAAAGACGGACUAAUACCCUAUAACACAGGGGUCCCGCAUGGGAAUAUUUGUUAAAGGACAACCGGUUGAAGAUGGGCAUGCGUUCCAUUAGCUGGUUGGUGAGGUAACGGCUCACCAAGGCAACGAUGGAUAGGGGAACUGAGAGGUUUAUCCCCCACACUGGUACUGAGACACGGACCAGACUCCUACGGGAGGCAGCAGUGAGGAAUAUUGGUCAAUGGACGCAAGUCUGAACCAGCCACGUCGCGUGAAGGAAGACGGCCCUACGGGUUGUAAACUUCUUUUAUACGGGAAUAAAGUGCCCCACGCGUGGGGUUUUGCAAGUACCGUAUGAAUAAGGAUCGGCUAACCCGUGCCAGCAGCCGCGGUAAUUCACACUACA
rnacentral:rRNA from 1 species